rnacentral:rRNA from 1 species
AACGAACGUUAGCGGCGCGCUUAACACAUGCAAGUCGAACGAGAAAGGGCUUCGGCCCCGGUACAGUGGCGCACGGGUGAGUAACACGUGGGUAAUCUACCCUCGAGCGGGGGAUAACGUUCCGAAAGGAGCGCUAAUACCGCAUAAGACCACGCUCUCGAAAGGGAGCGAGGUAAAAGUAGGCCUCUGAAUUCACGCUUACACUCGAGGAUGAGCCUGCGUCCCAUCAGCUAGUUGGUAAGGUAAUGGCUUACCAAGGCGAAGACGGGCAGCUGGUUUGAGAGAAUGAUCAGCCACACUGGCACUGGAACACGGGCCAGACUCCUACGGGAGGCAGCAGUGAGGAAUAUUGGGCAAUGGGCGAAAGCCUGACCCAGCCACGCCGCGUGAGUGAUGAAGGCCCUCGGGUCGUAAAGCUCUGUGAAGAGGGACGAAAACCCUGGUUUCAAAUAGGCUCCAGGCUUGACGGUACCUCUUUAGCAAGCACCGGCUAACUCUGUG